rnacentral:rasiRNA from 1 species
AAUUCCGUAAACGAAACCCAAAGU